rfam:Glycine soja cultivar W05 scaffold584_74, whole genome shotgun sequence.
UUCUUAUUGAAUAAUGAUUGUCAUGUGUCAUAUUCUUAUUGAAUUUUGAAUUCAUGAAAGAUGAAAUGCAUUGGUAUUGUCAUUGGUCAAUCAUAUCACACGUGAUAAUCAUUAUUC